CCUACGGGUGGCAGCAGUGAGGAAUAUUGGUCAAUGGACGAGAGUCUGAACCAGCCAAGUAGCGUGAAGGAUGACUGCCCUAUGGGUUGUAAACUUCUUUUAUAUGGGAAUAAAAUGCUCCACGUGUGGGAUUUUGUAUGUACCAUAUGAAUAAGGAUCGGCUAACUCCGUGCCAGCAGCCGCGGUAAUACGGAGGAUCCGAGCGUUAUCCGGAUUUAUUGGGUUUAAAGGGAGCGUAGGUGGAUUGUUAAGUCAGUUGUGAAAGUUUGCGGCUCAACCGUAAAAUUGCAGUUGAAACUGGCAGUCUUGAGUACAGUAGAGGUGGGCGGAAUUCGUGGUGUAGCGGUGAAAUGCUUAGAUAGCACGAAGAACUCCGAUUGCGAAGGCAGUUCACUGGACUGCAACUGACACUGAGGCUCGAAAGUGUGGGUAUCAAACAGGAUUAGAUACCCCUGUAGUC
rnacentral:rRNA from 1 species